rfam:TPA: Bos taurus chromosome 19, whole genome shotgun sequence.
UCCCUGGUGGUCCAGUGGCUAAGACUCUGUGCUCCCAAAUCAGGGGUCUCGGGGUUCAAUCCCUGGUCAGGGAA